rnacentral:rRNA from 1 species
CCUACGGGUGGCAGCAGUGAGGAAUAUUGGUCAAUGGGCGCGAGCCUGAACCAGCCAAGUAGCGUGAAGGAUGACUGCCCUACGGGUCGUAAACUGCUUUUAUAAAGGAAUAAAGUGAGGCACGUGUGCCUUUUUGUAUGUACUUUAUGAAUAAGGAUCGGCUAACUCCGUGCCAGCAGCCGCGGUAAUACGGAGGAUCCGAGCGUUAUCCGGAUUUAUUGGGUUUAAAGGGAGCGUAGAUGGGUUGUUAAGUCAGUUGUGAAAGUUUGCGGCUCAACCGUAAAAUUGCAAUUGAUACUGGCAGUCUUGAGUACAGUUGAGGUAGGCGGAAUUCGUGGUGUAGCGGUGAAAUGCUUAGAUAUCACGAAGAACUCCGAUUGCGAAGGCAGCUUACUAAACUGCCACUGACAUUGAUGCUCGAAAGUGUGGGUAUCAAACAGGAUUAGAUACCCCUGUAGUC